CUGCAAUGUGUGUUGGGGGCCUACGCGGCAAGCCGCGUAGGCCCCCAACAUCUCUCCUUCCUCGCCUGCGGCUCGACGGCAUCUUGCUCUGCGAGGUU
rfam:Candidatus Burkholderia pumila strain TZHbot3 BPMIctg83, whole genome shotgun sequence.